AGGGUGAGUCGACCCCUAAGGCGAGGCCGAAAGGCGUAGUCGAUGGGAAACGGGUUAAUAUUCCCGUACUUGGUGUUACUGCGAAGGGGGGACGGAGAAGGCUAUGUUGGCCGGGCGACGGUUGUCCCGGUUUAAGCGUGUAGGUGUGUGUUCCAGGUAAAUCCGGUUCACUUUAACACUGAGGCGUGACGACGAGGCACUACGGUGCUGAAGCAACAAAUGCCCUGCUUCCAGGAAAAGCCUCUAAGCAUCAGGUAACAUCAAAUCGUACCCCAAACCGACACAGGUGGUCAGGUAGAGAAUACCAAGGCGCUUGAGAGAACUCGGGUGAAGGAACUAGGCAAAAUGGUGCCGUAACUUCGGGAGAAGGCACGCUGACACGUAGGUGAAGUGAUUUACUCAUGGAGCUGAAGUCAGUCGAAGAUACCAGCUGGCUGCAACUGUUUAUUAAAAACACAGCACUGUGCAAACACGAAAGUGGACGUAUACGGUGUGACGCCUGCCCGGUGCCGGAAGGUUAAUUGAUGGGGUCAGCGCAAGCGAAGCUCCUGAUCGAAGCCCCGGUAAACGGCGGCCGUAACUAUAACGGUCCUAAGGUAGCGAAAUUCCUUGUCGGGUAAGUUCCGACCUGCACGAAUGGCGUAAUGAUGGCCAGGCUGUCUCCACCCGAGACUCAGUGAAAUUGAACUCGCUGUGAAGAUGCAGUGUACCCGCGGCAAGACGGAAAGACCCCGUGAACCUUUACUAUAGCUUGACACUGAACAUUGAGCCUUGAUGUGUAGGAUAGGUGGGAGGCUUUGAAGUGUGGACGCCAGUCUGCAUGGAGCCGACCUUGAAAUACCACCCUUUAAUGUUUGAUGUUCUAACGUGGACCCGUUACCCGGGUUGCGGACAGUGUCUGGUGGGUAGUUUGACUGGGGCGGUCUCCUCCUAAAGAGUAACGGAGGAGCACGAAGGUUGGCUAAUCCUGGUCGGACAUCAGGAGGUUAGUGCAAUGGCAUAAGCCAGCUUGACUGCGAGCGUGACGGCGCGAGCAGGUGCGAAAGCAGGUCAUAGUGAUCCGGUGGUUCUGAAUGGAAGGGCCAUCGCUCAACGGAUAAAAGGUACUCCGGGGAUAACAGGCUGAUACCGCCCAAGAGUUCAUAUCGACGGCGGUGUUUGGCACCUCGAUGUCGGCUCAUCACAUCCUGGGGCUGAAGUAGGUCCCAAGGGUAUGGCUGUUCGCCAUUUAAAGUGGUACGCGAGCUGGGUUUAGAACGUCGUGAGACAGUUCGGUCCCUAUCUGCCGUGGGCGCUGGAGAACUGAGGGGGGCUGCUCCUAGUACGAGAGGACCGGAGUGGACGCAUCACUGGUGUUCGGGUUGUCAUGCCAAUGGCACUGCCCGGUAGCUAAAUGCGGAAGAGAUAAGUGCUGAAAGCAUCUAAGCACGAAACUUGCCCCGAGAUGAGUUCUCCCUGAGACUUAAAGUCUCCUGAAGGAACGUUGAAGACGACGACGUUGAUAGGCCGGGUGUGUAAGCGCAGCGAUGCGUUGAGCUAACCGGUACUAAUGAACCGUGAGGCUUAACCUUACAACGCCGAAG
rnacentral:rRNA from 2 species